UGAAGACCUUGUAGAUGUCCUUCAGAGAGCCCUUAGAAGCCUUUGUGGCGUCCAAAGCCUUGACAUCCUCCUUCAUGAUGAUAGACCUGAGUAUAAGCUGAGCUGAUGACCGGGGCGACCUCUGCGAUUGUGUUUGGUGUGUGCUGCAUCAGAGGGUGAAGUGCUUCAGCUCCAAGGGAAACAACUUUAGAGUGGGGUUUAAAGGUCAAGAAAAUUAAAGAAAAAAUGCCAAAUUACAGCAUGACUUUCAACUAAUGUUAUGUCUGUGCCAAAGGCUUCAAAAAAUCCAAGGAAAAAAAAACGGGUUCCAAGUACCUAACAGCAGACUGGGAAGUCAGUGUUUGGAGCAAAACCAUUUUAUACACUGAGGACUACAAAGGUGUUUCCUAACGGAAAGAGAAGCUCACUAUUCCAGCACCUGAGCCUGUAGGAUCUUUGCCCUGCUGUCAGUGAUUUGAAUGCCUCUAGAAAGCAGUCUUCAUGAAAAAGCUCCAAUUCUACACGUUACUAUGCUUAAUAAACCAUAGCUGCCAUUAUGGAUGCUCCCACUGAGAAACACAAUGGCUUCUCACUUGCAAGGGAAUCCAGCUGGCACCAGCAAAAAUGGAGUGGGAAAGCAAGAAAGCAAGAGACGAAAGUUGAGAAAAUUCACUGCACAAUGCAGGUGACCUAUUUAAUAGCUAAUGCAGAUUGCUAAAUUUGCCAAAAUCAAAAGUGGAGUUGGGGAAAGACUUUUAAAUGUGGAGCAGGUUGAAGGGAAUGCAGAGUCAUUUUAUCUGAGUCUGACUAACCUAGUAUGCACUCUGACUAGAUUGGUUAAAGAACAUUUGUUGCUACUAUGCACUUUAUAGAAGGCCAUGAAAGACAAGGGAAUUUGCAAAGUAGACAUUAAACUGAACAAAAGA